UGAAGUGAUGGCCGGGUACAGCAGCAAAGGGAGCCGGAAGGAGGGGGGGGGGGCAGAGAGCAGGAUUGAGUUCGAAUCCUCCCGUUUACUAGUCCCUCAGGGGCAGACCCCUCCCCCGGUGCCACUUGGACCCCCCCAAAAGCCGGGAGCCCCGCCCCUCCCCUACGUCCUGGGACCCAGCAUUUGCGCGAGCCUUACAGAGAUGAAGCUGGACAAGGUGGAAGAGCUUCUCCAGAGGGACUCACUGGGGCUGCUUUGCUGCCUGUACAGGAAGCCUGGAGUGCCGGGGAUGGCCUUGGAGAGGGACAAACUCCCAGCCGAGGAGGUGGUGACAUUCCAGGAUGUGGCUGUGGACUUCACUUGGGAGGAGUGGAGCCUCUUGUCUCCUCCCCAAAAGGAGCUGUACAGGGAGGUGAUGCUGGAGAAUGCCCGGAACCUGCUCUCUGUGGAAAGAGAGAUGAGACCUGAAAUGAAGCUGACUACAACAGAGGUAAGCCUCUCUGUGGAAGAAAUGAACCUGCAAAGAUUCAUGAGUGAUUGUCCCGAUAACUUUGCUUUCAGAGAAUUCUGUGUUGCACCUCAAAAUUCAUCUCAUAUUGAACAUCAAGGAAUUCAUUCUGGGGAAAAAUCUAGUGAAGAUAAUCAAUGCAGAAAGACUUUUAUGCAAAGGGCCAUUCCUGUGGGACAUCAGAGAAUGCACUCUCUUAAGAAACCUUAUGAAUGCAAGCAAUGUGGAAAGACAUUCACCUGUUACUCAAAUCUAGCUAGACAUCAGAGAAUCCACACUGGAGAGAAACCUUAUAAAUGCAACCAAUGUGGAAAGUCAUUCAGUCGGAGGUCCAGUGUUGUUGUACAUCAGAAAAUCCACUCUGGGGAGAAAACUUAUGAAUGCAAACAAUGUGGAAAAACAUUUCGUUGGAACUCCUAUCUUGCUAAACAUCAGAGAAUCCACACUGGAGAGAAACCUUAUGAAUGCAAUCAGUGUGGGAAAACAUUUCAUUUGAAGUCCAGUCUUGUUAAACAUCAGAGAAUUCACACUGGAGAGAAACGUUAUGAAUGCAAACAAUGUGGAAAAACAUUUAAUCAGAGUUCCCGUCUUGCUAUACAUCAGAGAAUCCACACUGGGGAUAAACCUUUUGAAUGCAAGCAAUGUGGAAAGAGAUUCUCAGAGAACUCCAGUCUUGGUGUACAUCAGAGAAUCCACACUGGUGAGAAACCUUAUGAAUGCAACCAAUGUGGAAAGACAUUCAGUCAGUGCUCCUAUCUUGCUAGACAUCAGAGAAUCCACACUGUGGAGAAACCUUAUGAAUGCAACCAAUGUGGAAAGACAUUCAGUCUGCGCUCCCAUCUUGCUAGACAUCAGAGAAUCCACACUGGGGAGAAACCUUAUGAAUGCAACCAAUGUGGAAAGACAUUCAGUUGGAGCUCCUAUCUUGCUGUACAUCAGAGAAUCCACACUGGGGAGAAACCUUAUGAAUGCAACCAAUGUGGAAAGCCAUUCAGUCAGAGCUCCAGUCUUGCUGUACAUCAGAGAAUCCACACUGGGGAGAAACCUUAUGAAUGCAACCAAUGUGGAAAGCCAUUCAGUCGGAGCUCCAGUCUUGCUGUACAUCAGAGAAUCCACUCUGGGGAGAAACCUUAUGAAUGCAACCAAUGUGGAAAGACAUUCAGUCGGAGCUCCUAUCUUGCUGUACAUCAGAGAAUCCACACUGGGGAGAAACCUUUUGAAUGCAAGCAAUGUGGAAAGACAUUCAGUAUGCGCUCCUAUCUUGCUGAACAUCAGAGAAUCCACACUGGUGAGAAACCUUAUGAAUGCAACCAAUGUGGAAAGACAUUCAGUCGGAACUCCCGUCUUGCUGUACAUCAGAGAAUCCACUCUGGGGAGAAACCUUAUGAAUGUAACCAAUGUGGAAAGACAUUCAAUCAGAGUUCCUAUCUUGCUGAACAUCAGAGAAUCCACACUGGUGAGAAACCUUAUGAUUGCAAGAAAUGUGGAAAGACAUUCAGUCUGCGCUCCCAUCUUGCUAGACAUCAGAGAAUCCACACUGGGGAGAAACCUUAUGAAUGCAACCAAUGUGGAAAGACAUUCAGUCGGAGUUCCUAUCUUGCUAGACAUCAGAGAAUCCACACUGGGGAGAAACCUUAUGAAUGCAACCAAUGUGGAAAGACAUUCGGUCAGAGCUCCUAUCUUGCUGUACAUAAGAGAAUACACACCAGGGAGAAACCUUAAUAAUAGAAGAUAUGUGGAAACAUGUUCACAUGCAGCUCCAGUCUUGCUAUUGUGUGAAGGAAAUUUACCCAGCACCACGCCCCCUUUCUGGGGCAGUAUAUACCUCGUGUGAGCCUGAACUUCAUCCCGGUGAGGAUUAUGUGAUAGAAUCCAUUGAGUGAGGAUAGAAUGGCAAUAAGAAAAAGGCAGCAAUAGAGUUGAGAGAUCAGGAGAUGACAACAAGGUGAUGUCCCGUGCAGUGCCCCCUGGACUGGCCCCUGGCCACACUGGCAAAAAUGAUAGCCAUGGUUGGCUCCUUGGAUGAAAUUUGUAAGUUAGUGGUGUAAAAAUGGAGAUUUUGAUCCCUAGACUUCAAUCCCCAGAAGUCCUUGGUGUUUCCCUAAAUUCCCUAUUAUCUCACCUCAGUCUCCACCUGGGUGAGAUCACAAUGAGUAUUUAAUUGGCAGUCUCUGCCUCCAUCUCACUGGGCCAUUGUAAUAAUGGGGUAAGUAAGCUAAGUGUGAGCACUCUGAAUUGGCUAAUUAGCCCUACCACGUGGUUUCUUAUUUUCUGUUGUCUUUAUUCCUUGAUUUCUAAUAAUCCUUAAUAAAUCUCAUAAAAUACAAUAUUUUAAUAAUUAGAGAUAUUUUAAUUUUUUUAAAGAUAGCCUAGAUAAUUUUUUAAGCCACGUUUCUCCAAGGCUUUUCAGCAAAGCCUCUUGAUGUACUCUCACCUGCUGCCUGUUUGCCUGCUUCUGCAAUUGUCUCUAUUCAUCUGCGUUGGACCUGCUUGACCCAGAUUGCUCUCCUGGUCCCAACCUGCUUCUGCCCUGCCCCAACUGAUCUCCAGCCUCUCAACUAGAUCUCCCCAGGCCAGCCCCAGGACACAGACUUCUAGUAGCUGCCCCUUGGUUUUCAGAAUCAGAAACCAGCUGGUUAAAAUGGGGGUGUCUUUUGCUUAUGCUAUAAUUAGCCUCCACAUGGCAGGGAACCACAGCAUGGUGGAAUGAGGAGAAGGUAGAGACUUUUCAAAACAGGAAGUAUGGAGUAUUCUAUGAGAGAGCAGUGCAUCACCUAUUACAAACAGCCUCCAGUUUUAGGGGGUUUUUUUGUUUGUUUGUUUGUUUUGAGUGCACGCAUCCUUUCAUUAAUUUCACCUGAAAUUCAGGAAAGGAAUUCGUCUCUCUGCAACUCUUUGCCAUUUGGCCCUGCCCAAUUUGAGAUUCCCAAAACCCACCCUCACUAUGGAUGGGCAGCUGGGUGGCUCAGUGGAUUGAGAGCCAGGCCUAGAGAUGGGAGGUCCUGGGGUAAAAUCUGGCCCCCGACACUUCCUAGCUGUGUGACUCUGGGCAAAUCACUUGACCCCCAUUGCCUACCCCUUACCAAUCUUCUGCCUUGUAACAAAUCCCAUAGUUCUGAUAAAUAAUAUCUCAAAGGAUAAAAACAACAACCAAAAAAACCCCCAAGGAACCUUAAUGAGACUGGAGAUUAUAUUUUAAGGCAUUUCAGACUCCAAUGUUGUUGUUUUUUUUUUUAAUCUUGAUUUUAUUACAUUUUACUGAUUGUUUUGUUUGAGAUUUUAUUUUGUUGGUUUUAAAUUCAUAUAUUAAUGUUUUCAAUACUAUUCUGUUACACUGAAUCAUUUUAAUGUACUGGGUUUUUAACUACUGUUAUAUUCUUUUGCUUUUCACCUAUAACUACACUGAACAAAUAUUGAAUAAGCCCAUAUAAAAACAACUUUUUUCUACUUUUGACUUUGUAAAUUGUUUCAUAGAGAAUGGAUGGACUUCUUUGCAAUUGUAUAACAACCUUUGAAAAAUUUAAUGAGCUAAAGGUCUCAAAUUGAUUUUAAGGGUACUUUAGACGUGAUUUUUAGAUUUUUUUCAACUCUGCUCAUUUUUUCUGCCUCUAAUAGAAGGUAAGGUCCAUUUUAGUAGCUGAGGUGAAAUACAAUUUUAAUCCCCACCUCCCACCUUUAUAAAAAAUGUGAAUGAAUGGGACAUCACAGUCUCAUACCAAAGGAGCUGGGAAGUUAAUCCCAGGGCAUGGUACCCAUGGAUGACUCCCAAAAGAGGAGCAUCUCUCAUUUAUAUCUUCAGCUCACUUUACCCAACAUCAACAGUACAGUGGUUUUUGAUUUUUUUUCCCCCUAGGCUCCUCUGCCACAUUUUUGAAAGAUAUCUGUAUUACUUGAGGAUGUUCUAGACACAAAUGAGUUUAACUUGGUUCAAAAAUGUAUUUGCCAAGGUCGAAAGAUUUGCUACACCUAAAAAAAACUGUGACCAAUAUCCAUCAGUUCAUAGUCUUUAAAUAAAAAUGCCAUACAUCAACUUAUGUGAAAUAUGAUAGUGGGUUUGUUUGCUAUUGUAAUUAACUGGGUAUUGUGAAUUUUGGGGAUUUGCUGUACUACUGUUCUUUAUUUUUUUAAAAAACUGUUACUUUGUGAAAUUAAUUCAUUUCCUCAUACUCACAGUGGAUCAUGGCCAGGUAUGAAGAGGAAAUGGAUCUCUAGUUUGAAUAUGAACUGUUUGGAGGAGACACCGUGAAGAUGGCUCCACAGACUACAAGCUACUAUAGGAAGAUCCAGAUUGAACCUUGGGGUGCGGUUGAUUGGACUGAAGGUUGAUUAAACAUUUAUUUUCUUUGUACACUCUUGUGCCAAAGGGGACUGCCCCUUAACAGGUUUUUGUCAGUGUGCCAAUCAAUUAUUGGUUUUGUUCUCUUCCUCUUAUCUUAAAAUUAUUAUAUUUUCAUAGCUGAUAUGUUUACAAGACCCAUUGGAGAGACUAGUCUUCCUCGGGCCUCAGGUGGAAUAUAAAAAUGGAGAUUGUGAACCCCAGACUUCAAUCCCAGAAGUCAUUGGUAUUUCCCUAAAUUCCCUAUAAUCUCACCUCAGUCUCCAUCUAGGCGAGAACACAAUGCUUAUUUAACUGGCAGUGUGCCACCCUCUCAUUCGGCCAUUUUAAUUAUGUAGUAAGUAAGCUAAGCGUGGGCACUCUGAAUGGGCUAAUCAGCCCUACCAAGUGGUUUCUCAUUUUGUAUCAGUUAUAUUAAACUAGCCUCUGAGUGCAAUCAGUCCAGAGUGUCAAGCUGAUAGAUGCGUGUUGAUUUUCUGUGUAAGAUAAUUAUUUCGAUAAUGCAUUCAACUGAAUGUCACUGUGUAACGGAUAAUUUUAGCAUUGUGACUUAAAAUCUAAAUUUAAUUGGUCACCAGGGAAAAUCCCAAAUAAGAAAAUACCCAAGUCAGCCAGAAAUUUUAUGGUGAUUUAAUUGAUAUAGUGGAGGAGAUUAAGAAGAAGGAAAAGGCGUAUCAUUUCUCUCUCCUGGCUAGUACCGGGAAGAUUAGGAGAUCUAGGAAGUAAGGUUUUGGAGUGUGAAGGAGGAAGGAAUCAUCCUGAACUCCAAAAAGGGCUCAGCCAAGAAUCAGCUCAAGAGCAAACUCACUGCCAAACCCAAAUAACUGCCACAACUCCAAGAUGUCAGAAUGCCUAGCACGUUGCUAAUCAGAGUCAACUCUCCAGGGAAAGAGUGAAGAGAGCCAGUGAUGUGCCUUAUAUGGAUGGUUUUAUGUCACUUUUCUGUAACUCAUCUGCACCAAUGAUAGCUUAGCUUGGCUUAGGACAGCCCAGGGGUCUGUCCUCUUUCUUCACAUGUCUGUUGAGGGCCAUUUCCUCAGAUAAUUAAAUCUUUUGAUUAUGGUGCAGGCAUCCUGACCUUGUUAAACUGAGUACGGUGGAGAAAUGUAGAGGUCCCAAGACCUGGUUCUGUUAGACCAAGUAUCUCCAUUGUUACUGGUCAGGAAAGAGCUAAAUCAGAUCUUAUAAAGUCCAGUCUGAUUAGGGCAGAAUGCUUUUAAAAUUCACAACUGGAAUGUCAAUAAUUUUAUUUCAUAUUUGAAAUCCACGAUAUCAUGUUACUUUUCCAUUUUUGCCUCAUAGAAAUUUUUGAGAAAAUCUUCAAGUGAUUUCUAUAAAGACAUUAUUUCAUUCCUGAAUUAACUCUUCUUUAGAACCAGAUGCUAUGAUGAAUUAUGAUAAUUGAGAAUAGGGUUAGAAUUUUUUAAAAACUGAAGUAUUUAAUUGGACAUAGUUGUAAAUAACUCCUUGUUUCCACUUUUAAUGUUGGUUCAAUUAGUUUUGUUUGUACAGUUUUGAAUUUAAUAUUAAAAAAUCUACCUAUUUUAUACCUCCAAA